GUCCUAGCCGUAAACGGUGCACAUUUGCUGUGAGAGGAUUCGACCCCUUUCGUGGCGUAGCAAACGCGUUAAAUGUGCCGCCUGGGGAGUACGGUCGCAAGAUUAAAACUCAAAGAAAUUGACGGGGGCCUGCACAAGCGGUGGAGUAUGUGGCUUAAUUCGAUGCAACGCGAAGAACCUUACCUGGCCUUGACAUGCAGGUGGUAGAAGCCCGAAAGGGUAACGACCCCGCAAGGGGAGCUUGCACAGGUGCUGCAUGGCUGUCGU
rnacentral:rRNA from 1 species